GAUGAACGCUGGCGGUAUGCCUAACACAUGCAAGUCGUACGAGAGUUUUUAGCUCUAGUGGCGGACGGGUGAGUAACACGUGAGAAUUUGCCUUUAGGAGGGGGAUAACAAUUGGAAACGAAUGCUAAUACCCCAUAUGCUUUUGAGUGAAAUGGAUUUUAUCCGCCUAGAGAGAAGCUCGCGGCUGAUUAGCUUGUUGGUAAGGUAAGAGCUUACCAAGGCGACGAUCAGUAUCUGGUUUGAGAGGACGAUCAGACACACUGGAACUGAGACACGGUCCAGACUCCUACGGGAGGCAGCAGUGGGGAAUUUUCCGCAAUGGGCGAAAGCCUGACGGAGCAAUACCGCGUGAGGGAAGAAUGCCUAUGGGUUGUAAACCUCUUUUGUCAGGGAAGAAACGGUGAUUUCUAAUACAGAUUGCUAAUGACGGUACCUGAAGAAUAAGCACCGGCUAACUACGUG
rnacentral:rRNA from 1 species